ACCGGGUACUAACCUGGAAAAAGAAAAGGAGUCCAUGAGCUGGAACGAACCCGUUAUCCAAAGCACUUCUGACGGAAACAGGAAGUUGCCCCGUCUUCAGCCACCUGGGGGCACUGCAGGAGUGUCUAAGAUUGAGGAUUGUCUGCUGCAGACGGAUUCAAUGAGCAACACACACAUGACCUCAGGUGGAGGUGGAUGAAGUUCAUGGAUCAGAUCAUGAGCUGCUCCCCUCGCACAGGAUACAAGUCGGACCCGACCAGCGCCGGUGUGGUGGCAGCGCCGCCGUAUAAUUACCUGCUGGCACCCAGAAAUGAGUUCUGCAGCAAAAAAAACAGGAGUCCUGCUGUGCUGCGACUCAGUCCUGGAAAAUGAAACAGGAGGAUGUUGAGGAUGCAGAAUGAUCAAAGGAGCCGGUCCGGGGAGGAAGGAGCACGGUAUAAUGUGGUGUAGCGGCCGGGGUCGAUGCUCGCCAGCUUCUCUUUGUGACUCUGUGUUCUGUAUCCGUGCACACGGAGCUGCACAGCUCACAUCAUGGUCCAGCAGGAGGAAAUAAUGGGGCUGAAGCUGCUGAGGAUUGGAGAGGUUACAGGCAAAUGUUUGAUGUGAGGAUUUAUAUGCUUUUGAAUAAAAAUGUGCAAUAUUUUAACAAUUUUUUUACCCAUUUUUUCUUCAAUUUGGAGGUUUUUUUUAGCUUUUUUGUUAAAAACUAAUCUUAAUAAAUGUUAUGGAGGGUUUUAAAUCUUUGCAUUCAUCACUCGCCAGGUAUGAAGUUCUCAUUCAGCUGUGGAUUCUAUAGUUGCACAUGCAAGAUAGACACAAGAAUGUCCUUUCUGCAUCCGUUUUAUGGAUGUUUGAUGGUCCGCACACCCCUGGCUAAUCAUUAAAAUGCAA